rnacentral:lncRNA from 1 species
AAAGGGGGCGCCGAGGGAUUCAGACGUGAGCUGGGGGCAGGAGAAGGGCGCCCUUGGGAAGGAGGCGGGAGGGAGCGCGUGAAAGAGGGAGCGCCCAGGGCAGGGGAUGUGGUUGGGGGGGGCGCGAAGUGCUGCAUUUCUAGGGGAGGUGCUAAGCUCGCAUCCUGGCCCUUCCCACCUCGCCGCCGCAGGGAGGGAGGGGGCCGGCGUGGGCUGAUGCUCGUAGUCUCCCGCCCCCGGACCACCCCCUCCAGAGUCCGGGAGCUGUGCAGCCCCAGAUCCUCUGGCUAAGGACUGGCCUGGGCGCCCCGAAAGCCCGCAGGACUGAGUUGUCAGUCUCUGGAGGAGCGGGUCGUCUAGAAGUCAGUCUGUUUCCCUGGCACCCAUCCUUCGCACUUAAACCUGGCCGCGAGUCCCCCUUGAAGGUAGAAGUGUCUGGCAUGGAUCGCUCCCGAGGAAGCUCAGCCUCAGGCUCAGUCACCUGGGCUCUCUCCGACCGUCCAGGGACGCCGCGAGGAAAGCGAUCGUGCGGAUCGCUCGCCACCAGCCGCUCUCCAAAUGUGUGCAGAAUGGAGGCGAAAGUUGGAGGCACUGCAUGUGACUAUUAGGCCCUUAAGAGGUCUGCAUCACCGCAUCGUCUGUUUUGCCAACCAGGGGCAAGCCCAGCGGAAUUACAUGCCAAACCAGGAAGGGUUCCAUGUGGAGCCCUUUCAUUCCC